AUGAGGGGAUUUGUGAAAACUUAUGUGCAGCAAUGCUUGGUGUGUCAACAGGAGAAACCUGAGCGAGUGCCUUAUCCAGGUUUGUUGCAGCCUCUGCCAGUUCCAAAUACACCUUGGGAAAUGGUUACUAUGGACUUUGUCGAAGGAUUGCCGGCAUCUGGCCGUUACAAUUGUCUGUUGGUGGUCAUUGAUAAACUAUCGAAGUAUGGACACUUUGUUCCUUUGCAUCAUCCGUUUACUGCAGAGACGGUAGCGGAAGCAUUUCUGAAUACAGUUUAUUGGCUGCAUGGCAUGCCACUUUCCAUUGUGUCUGAUCGUGAUCGUGUCUUUACUAGCAAGUUUUGGAAGGAAUUAUUUCAAAGGUGUGGAGUUCUUCUCAGAAUGAGCACGGCUCGUCAUCCGCAAUCUGAUGGGCAGACGGAAAGAGUUAACUAGCAAGUCGAGUGUUUCCUCCGAUGUUUUGUAAGUGCUUCCUUCUCGGUGGCCCAAAUGGAUUCCAUUAUGUGAGUUCUGGUAUAACACUAAUUGGCACUCAGCUACUGGAAAAACUCCAUUGAAAUCAUAUAUGGCCAUGCCCCACACCAUUUUGGUUUGAAGGCAGACGAUGCAAUUCAGUCAGAGGACUUGCAUCAGUGGCUUGCGGAUAGGUAGGUCAUUCUGGAGUCAGUGCGUCAGCACCUGCCGCGAGCACAAUAGCGCAUGAAGAUACAAGCAGACAAGCAUCGAAGUGAUCGUGAAUUUGCAGUUGGGGAUCAGUUUUUUCUGAAACUGCAACCUUAUUUGCAAUCAUCAGUCGCUCCUAGGGCCAAUCAUAAACUGGCAUUCAAGUUUUAUGGGCCAUUUGAGGUACUGGAACGCAUUGGGGCAGUGGCUUAUCGGCUCAAAUUGCCAGAGGACAGUAAAGUUCAUCCGGUGUUUCAUGUAUCUCUCCUAAGAAAAGUGUUGCAACCCAAGCAUCAGAUUUUGCCUCAACUGCCUAGCCCAGAUGAUCAAUUUCAGAUUCCUGAGCAGAUUUUGGAUCAGAAAGUGGUUCGUCGUGGUUCAGGAUCUCUUGUUCAAGCCUUGAUCAAGUGGAGUGCUACGCCGAUCGAGAUGGCCACCUGGGAGGAUAAAGUGACGCUGCAGCAAAAGUUUCCUAGAGCACCGGCUUGGGGGCAAGCCGUUUCUAAGGAGGGUGGGAUUGUCAGCGAUCCUGAGACGGGCCAAGAACCAAGCGAGGAGAAGAGUAGGCCCAAGCGACAGCCUCGCCUCCCGGCUCGGCUAGCUGGGCCAGAAUGGGCCUAG
rnacentral:rRNA from 1 species